rnacentral:lncRNA from 1 species
CAUUCAAUUGCUUCAUUCAAAGAGCCAAAAGGAAGUGGUUGAGCAGAUUCCAAGAGACAUUAAGAGCUCUACCAACCCUUGAAGAGUGAAGCAAUCUUGACAAAGAAAAGAAGAGCCUUAUUAAAGCGAUAACUAUAUUCUAAACUCUUCUUUGUAGCUUAUAAUUGUUAUAUUUGCUCAUCUAGGAGUUUCAACUUUCUUCUUCUUUUUAAUCACCUUGUAAAGGUUUAUUGGUGAGCCCGUAAAACCAACGGUAAAGGUUUGUUGGUGAGCCCGUAAAACCAACGGUGUAGGUUGUUGGUAAGCCCGAAAAACUAACGUAGGUUGUUGGUAAGCCCGUAAAACCAACGUAGGUUGUUGGUGAACCCGUAAAACCAAUUGUGAAGGUUCGUUGGUGAGCCCGUAAAACCAACAUAGGUUCUUGGUGAUCCCGGAA